rnacentral:lncRNA from 10 species
GGAAAGGAGACUGUGGGCAGCAAGUUUAGAGGCGUGACUGAAAGUCGCGCUGAGACCUGAGCUGCUGAAUCACGUUUCUGGUUACUAUGGGCAACGGGUGUGUUUUCUUUUUGAUGUCCUUUGCAGUGGAUCACAGCUACCUGCUGAGCCUGCAAACAGUAAGAAGAUUCCCCUCUCUUUCUCAGUGGAUGUAAAGCAGUGAUUCUGCAUAAAUGUAUCAACACUAUAGCUCAACUCCUUCUGGAGUGGACUUCCCCUAGACCUGGAGAGCGAGUCCUGCCUAGCAUACACGGCCUGAAGUUCGAGAUCUCUUCCAAUUCAGGUCAACAAGAAAACUCAAUUCCUCUUCAGGAAGUUAAGUGACUUAAAGAUUACAUAAGAGCUAAGAAGACAAGCCAGCUAAGCAUGUUCAAGACCGGGCUUUUUGAAACUGCACUAAUUGAUCAUAACGGUGUGAGUUUCAAGCCCCUUCAUAGCUUUCCUAUAGCUCACUCUGUGCCUCUCCCAAAUGACAAAAACAAGGCAAACCCAUAGAGUAUGAGUUUACAUCAUAUGCAAAAAACACAAGUCCAGAGUAUAGAAAAUGGAAGAAGAAAAAUGAAAUCAAUGAACUUUAAUAUCGUUAAAGUUAACACUAUAUCCAUGGAACUUUGAUCUGGCAUAGUUUUUUGCCACAUUUUAUUUAAAAGAUUUCAAUUU